AUGAGCUCAACUGCUUAGAGCAUGGUGCUAAUAAUACCAAGGCGAGGGGUUCAAUCCCCCUAU
rnacentral:tRNA from 1 species